rnacentral:ncRNA from 1 species
CAAAAUGCUUUGAAGAGAAAUAGUAAAGAUGAAAGAAAUUUUAAGAGAGCCGAAGGUGCUGCGAUUCGGUAGUUUCCAUAUCUUGAACUCGUCUCUGAGCUGUCGCCUAAGAGUUUUUGUAGGGUUGAACGUGUUCCCACGUUACAGGGAUAGAUGGUAAUGGCCAUUGAACGAGUGUCAAUGUUUUGAAGCCAUCGAAAAAGAGGGUUUCUAAAGUUUUUUACUUAGAAAGUCAAUUAGAGUGGUACCGCGGGUUAUAUCUCGUCUCUUUG